ACGCACGCUGGCGGCGUGCUUAACCCCUGCAAGUCGAACGAAAAGAGGGAAAGAGCUUGCUCUUUCCGGAAUUGAGUGGCAAACGGGUGAGUAACACGUAAACAACCUGCCUUCAGGAUGGGGACAACAGACGGAAACGACUGCUAAUACCGAAUAAGUUCCAAGGGCCGCAUGGCCCAUGGAAGAAAAGGUGGCCUCUACCUGUAAGCUAUCGCCUGAAGAGGGGUUUGCGUCUGAUUAGCUGGUUGGAGGGGUAACGGCCCACCAAGGCGACGAUCAGUAGCCGGUCUGAGAGGAUGAACGGCCACACUGGAACUGAGACACGGUCCAGACUCCUACGGGAGGCAGCAGUGGGGAAUCUUCCGCAAUGGGCGAAAGCCUGACGGAGCAACGCCGCGUGAGUGAUGACGGCCUUCGGGUUGUAAAACUCUGUGAUCCGGGACGAAAAGGCAGAGUGCGAAGAACAAACUGCAUUGACGGUACCGGAAAAGCAAGCCACGGCUAACUACGUG
rnacentral:rRNA from 1 species